UUUUAGCCCCGGUAGCAGCGGCAUCCUUUUGUUGGCUUCUUUAGCCAGCAAAAGAUACAGCGGAUGACGGGAAAUAGC
rnacentral:sRNA from 1 species